rnacentral:tmRNA from 1 species
GGGGCUGAAAUGGUUUCGACAGGGAUGCUUGCCUUGCUUAGGCUGCAGUCGUGUGGUGACGUUAUCACCAACCAAAAAUAACUGACAACAGUUAUAUGAGCGCCAAUCGCGCUCAAGUUUGCUGCGCUGCUUAAUUAGCUUCCGUAUAUAGGAACCGACCAAAAGGCCGGACAGCACGGAUUCUAGGGUUUAGCCUAUUACGCCUAGAAAAUCCGUCAUACAAAUAGGAUAAGAUCUAGCAGUUGACAAGUUAGCUAGGUACGAAAAAUUGUUUGGCUCGCAAUUCACGUUUUGUCGAUAUUGUCGGUGAAUUGUUAAAACUCAAUGUCGUCUAAACUGUAGACGCCUUUGAUGGGCCAUCCUUGGACACGAGUUCAACUCUCGUCAGCUCCACCA